AACGAACGCUGGCGGCAUGCCUAACACAUGCAAGUCGAACGAGACCUUCGGGUCUAGUGGCGCACGGGUGCGUAACGCGUGGGAACCUGCCCUUAGGUUCGGAAUAACUCCCCGAAAGGGGUGCUAAUACCGGAUAAUGUCUUCGGACCAAAGAUUUAUCGCCUUUGGAUGGGCCCGCGUUGGAUUAGCUAGUUGGUAGGGUAAAAGCCUACCAAGGCGACGAUCCAUAGCUGGUCUGAGAGGAUGAUCAGCCACACUGGGACUGAGACACGGCCCAGACUCCUACGGGAGGCAGCAGUGGGGAAUAUUGGACAGUGGGCGAAAGCCUGAACCAGCAAUGCCGCGUGAGUGAUGAAGGCCUUAGGGUUGUAAAGCUCUUUUACCCGGGAUGAUAAUGACAGUACCGGGAGAAUAAGCUCCGGCUAACUCCGUG
rnacentral:rRNA from 1 species